UACGAAGGGGGCUAGCGUUGCUCGGAAUCACUGGGCGUAAAGGGUGCGUAGGCGGAUCUUUAAGUCAGGGGUGAAAUCCUGGAGCUCAACUCCAGAACUGCCUUUGAUACUGAGGAUCUUGAGUUCGGGAGAGGUGAGUGGAACUGCGAGUGUAGAGGUGAAAUUCGUAGAUAUUCGCAAGAACACCAGUGGCGAAGGCGGCUCACUGGCCCGAUACUGACGCUGAGGCACGAAAGCGUGGGGAGCAAACAGGG
rnacentral:rRNA from 1 species